rnacentral:rRNA from 1 species
CACAUGCAAGUCGAGCGGCAGCACGGGGAGCUUGCUCCCUGGUGGCGAGCGGCGGACGGGUGAGUAAUGCAUAGGAAUCUGCCCGGUAGUGGGGGAUAACCUGGGGAAACCCAGGCUAAUACCGCAUACGUCCUACGGGAGAAAGCAGGGGAUCUUCGGACCUUGCGCUAUCGGAUGAGCCUAUGUCGGAUUAGCUGGUUGGUGAGGUAAUGGCUCACCAAGGCGACGAUCCGUAGCUGGUCUGAGAGGAUGAUCAGCCACACUGGGACUGAGACACGGCCCAGACUCCUACGGGAGGCAGCAGUGGGGAAUAUUGGACAAUGGGCGCAAGCCUGAUCCAGCCAUGCCGCGUGUGUGAAGAAGGCCCUCGGGUUGUAAAGCACUUUCAGCGAGGAAGAAGGCUUGGCGGUCAAUACCCGUCAAGAAGGACAUCACUCGCAGAAGAAGCACCGGCUAACUCCGUGCCAGCAGCCGCGGUAAUACGGAGGGUGCGAGCGUUAAUCGGAAUUACUGGGCGUAAAGCGCGCGUAGGUGGUUUGGCACGCCGGUUGUGAAAGCCCCGGGCUCAACCUGGGAACGGCAUCCGGAACGGCCAGACUAGAGUGCAGGAGAGGAAGGUAGAAUUCCCGGUGUAGCGGUGAAAUGCGUAGAGAUCGGGAGGAAUACCAGUGGCGAAGGCGGCCUUCUGGCCUGACACUGACACUGAGGUGCGAAAGCGUGGGUAGCAAACAGGAUUAGAUACCCUGGUAGUCCACGCCGUAAACGAUGUCGACUAGCCGUUGGGACCUUUAAGGACUUAGUGGCGCAGUUAACGCGAUAAGUCGACCGCCUGGGGAGUACGGCCGCAAGGUUAAAACUCCAAAUGAAUUGACGGGGGCCCGCACAAGCGGUGGAGCAUGUGGUUUAAUUCGAUGCAACGCGAAGAACCUU